AGGGUGAAAGGCAAAGCAAUAAUGUCAUUGUCAAAUUGGAUUCUUAGUUAUGUAAACAUCUUUGCUGAAAGUAUAAAUCUUUAAUUUUCAAGUACUUGGUGUCAAAUCAGCAAGGUCAAUGGAGAGUUAGAUGAUUAAUUAAGAAGUGGUCAACCUUCAAUUUCAACAUGUCUUAGAUUUUUGUGAACGCUUGAAAGUUAGAAUUAAGAAUUUGCUACAUCAUGAACUCGAGACCUCAUAUAAUCUUAGAGACAUUUGUAAUAUUAUUGAUUAUGUCAUGAUACUUCUAUCUCUCCCA
rnacentral:misc_RNA from 1 species